rnacentral:lncRNA from 1 species
CUGCUCCAACCCAAGCCUGUCAGGGUCCUGAAAGGUGGCGGUGGGGAAGGCCGGGGUGUCGGCUCCAUCUGCAGCUCAGAGAGGUUAUUCCGGCCAAGGUCGCGCUUGUCUUAGUGGUGGCUCUUCCACUAAACCUGCCUCCCGCCGUGGGCUCUGGCUGCGUUCCGUGCUGGUUCACGUGUGCAGAGCCUUUUCUGCAGCAUGUCGACUCCCCGCCCCUCCCGGGCUGGCCCGUCCCAUCCUCUGCCCUGGAGAAAUCUAACCCUCGUCACUUUUUUCCUGGCUGGCUUCCCCCCGCUUUUUGCCUUUUGUUUUGUUUUCUUUUCUGGCUACCCCACAGCCUGCGGAGUUCCCGGGCCAGGGGUCAGAUCCGAGCUGCAGCACGACCUUAGCUGCAGCUGUGGCAACGCCGGAUCCGUAACCCACCCCCUGUGCGGGGCCGGGGAUGGAACCUGCGUCCCAGCGCUCCCACGACGCCACCCAGCCUGCUGCGCCACAGCGGGGUCUCCCGCCCUCCUCUUCUAGGCUCUGGCUUUCCGUUUAAAGACCAUCACGGUUCUGGUCUGCGCCGACCCCCACCCCAGCUCCUCCCGCUGGUGCCGGCCCGUCCGUCUGCAUCGGAAUGCUUGCCACACACCACGGAAGGGCCAGCGUCACCCUGUGUGCAGAGGCGGGAAAACGCAUGCGCACACACACACACACACACACACACACACACACACACACGAGUACUUCUGAGGCUGGCGGAAGGUAUGAAUACUGUGCUUUUUAGAGGAGUGGGUAAAGGUGGGCCUGUUUGUGCUGGUUCAGACUUACCUCUGUGUCCAGUGGGAGACGGUUCCGUGUGGUGGUCGAGAGCUCGGAUUCUGCAGCCGGGGGACCGUUGCCAGGAACCAGUGUGUGGCCCGGGGUGGCUCUUAGCCUCUUGUUGCUCGGCUUCCUCAUCGCAAAGACGGAGCUGAUACAGCCCCUGCCCCGAGGGUUAACUGAGUGACGUGGGAUGUGCUUUGGGGUGAGCCUGGGAGGCGCCAGGGAGUGUUGGCUAUUGUCACCAUCACCUCCAGUGCCAUCUCCUGCAUGAAGGACAGAAAUCACGAGGUCCCAUCUCCCAGAGGGGCACGUCAGGUGCUUGGUUGACACUGGGGUCGGGGGAGCAGAGAUAUUCAGCCCCCCGGCUUCUCACUGCCUGUGCUUCAGAGCUGGUACUUCAGGGCCUUCCUACGCCUGGCACGGCGCUGUUGCAGAGGGACAGUGUCCGCAGGUGAAACAGCAGAGGAUGGCCGUGUCAGAGUCCCCAGGACCACCCCUGGGACUGAGGGUUCACAGACGCAGCAUCUCAGCAUCCAGUUUGGCCGGGAUUUAUUACAGGAAAGGAGACAGAGCCAAGUCUGCCCAAGGGCAGAGUUCGGGGGAAGCCGGGCCCAAGCUCCCUCGGCCUCUCCCCGUGGUCACACAGCUGCGGGCUGUGACCCCGUGUGAGAUGGUGUCUCCCUGGAGACCGUCUGAGACCGGGAGCCAGGACUUCCAUUGGAGCCGGUCACGGGCCCCUCUGCCUGACACGGACCAGCCCCCAGGCUUGCAGAAGGAAGCGGGUGCCCAGCCUGAGCCACCCUGACCACGUGUGGGUCCCUUGAGCCAGGCUGGUGGGUCAGGGACCCGAGGGACAGCUCCUGAAACCCAGGGUCCCGGACCCCGCCCAGCCGACCCGCGAGGAAGCCUUUCCAAGGAGAGGGGCCCUGGGCUGCUGCGCGGCUUCCUGCGUGACGUGGGCACGUGCACAGCGGCAAGCUUUUUGAGUAAGGGGACUUUGAGGGGCAAAAAGGAAAUCCUUCCCUUUUAGCAUAUUUGAAGCACUUCGCACAGGCGGUGAUGAAAUGACAGGAAAUGCUGGGACAUUCGAGGCCAGGAAAUUGAGAGGAAAGGCCAAUCCGAGUUUGAAAGAGCAUUUUUGCCCUAAAUCCUCCCAUGGUUUCUGCACCUGCCUUUUGCCCCGGCCCUGUGACAGCCACAGCCCGCUGAGCGAGAGGUGGGACCACGUGCCUGUGACGAGAGGAGGGGCCCUGGGGUCACGGGGCCCCAGGUGACAGAGCCACAGGUGACCUGUGCCUUGGACAGCACGCCCCACAGGCGUGAAAACAAGGCUCAGGGUGGAGGCCCCUCCCGCUGUCCCCUCCCGCCCUGCCUUUAUCGUACCCUCUCAGCAUCACGCCCGCCCCACACUGAGCUGGGCAGGAUUCUGCACGUGACUGCCAGGAGGCACCUGCAGGGGGGCUGCUGGUGUGCUUGCCGUCUGCACCCCUCAUUGUAGACUCCCCGCUCCUGCCACCUCUCGCUGCGGUCACAACCUGCAUUGAAGCACUCAAGGGACACGACUGGCCGGCCUGGUUGUUGUGUGUCCUCUCUGACCGGAGACAAGGUUCGUCUGCGCCAGACGCCUGGACCCUGGCAUCUUCCGCUCAAAGUUCCAACUGUUUCAGCUUCUGCCAGGCAUGCAUGCCCGAGAGGCAGAGCUCAGACUCUGGACCAGGCCGGCACGUUCAGUCCCAGCUUCCGAGCACAGACGAGGACGUGGUCCUCAGUUUCCUUAUCUGUACAAGGGGAGAAGGGCACCCACUUCCUUAAAGGAACUACCGUAUGUCACUGGUUUUGAAUGCAGUCCCCCACCACCACCACCGGUACACAGGCAUCUUACGGUCGAUGCCCUGUCAGGGGUUAACUGGCAGCUUUUUCUUUCUCUCUGUUCAGUAGUGGUGCCUCCUAAAAUCGAUGGCAUCAUAGAUCAGAUAAAAUACUAUAAAAAGCACACAGCACUUAAUGCUGGCAGGGACCUCGGCUGUUCCCGCUGUUAUCAGCAGGGCUGCCCCUCCAGGAAGGAGACAGGCUGGCAUUCGUUGUCUGUGUUGGGGCAUCUAAUUGUCAGAACUGACGGACAAAGAUUCUCAUCCCGUGUCACGGCUGAGCACGGCGAGGCUUGGGACAUCCAGGCCGCUCACCUGCCCUUGCAGAGCGAGGAGGGGGCAGACCCAGGAGGCUGCAGGCCACGACCACGGCCACCAGCUGCCUGCUUUGUAUGGCCAGUGAGCUGUGAAUGGUUUUUCCUUUUUUCUGCGGGUUGUCAAACAUCAAACGAAGUUGAGUAUUUGGUGAUGUUGAAAACUGCAAGAAACGUGAGUGUCCUUGGACUCGGCCCUGCCCACUCGAUGAUGUGCCUGCUGGUGGCUUUUGCACCGUGGUGCCAGCGUUUGGUGGUCCCAACAGAAACCGCGUGGCCCGCUGCACCUAAAACAUUUGCUGUUUGGCUUUUUACGGGAAAAGCUGCUGACGCCUGGUCUGGUUCUUGGCCCGCUGGCCGGCGUCCGAUGGAGAAGAGAGUCUUGUUUGUUUUUAUCGUCCACGCCUGGCAGCCACUCGGUCAGCGGCGACUACGUUGAAUUUCUGUCAUCAGUCCCGAGAGUCCAGAGUAGCUCUUCAGUCGUGCAGGUAACCAGGGCUCCCGUAAACAGCGAAAUAAAAUGCCCCUCGGCUCAAGGAGGGGAAGCCAGUUACAGAGACUUUCCAGGACGCUUUUCCAAAUAAUUCGCACUUGUGUUGCAACAUCUCUUACAGAGUAAAUAAAAGAAGGCAGUUCCCGUAGCACGAGGCAGCUCUCCCGGGAGCCGAGGAAAGGGUGGAGUCCCAGGUAGGAGCUGUUCUCAGGAAAUCAAACACUCAGUUCCAAGCCGUCAGCCUUGAAAGGCCCGCCGCGUGGCAGGACCGAGGCUCGGCGGUCAGGAGCCCCUUUGGCAGGUGGGAGGUGUCCGCGGUGUCCUGCUUUGAAGGCCCGGUUGGUUUUAAGGGGUCCAUCAAGUCAUUGACACGAACCCAGGACUGAGUCUCCCUCCGCAGUAAAUGUGUAUAAGGCAGACAGGCGUGGGCACCGCCAAGGCCACUGGGGAGCUCACUCAGCCUGGACUCGGGAAGGGACUUCCUGUGUUUGCAGCUGCCGCAGGUCUGGACCAGCACAACAGCUGGUGCCCUGGGCAGCUCGCCCACCCGGACACAGCUUUCUCUCGGGCUCAGGGUCCCAUGGAGAGAGCCACCUUCACAGCUGUACAGAGAAGGCAUCAUGAAAUCAGAACCAAGGCCAGAGCGCCCUCACCCAACCCCUCCCUGGGAGGGCUGCACGCACCCCCUCUGUCCCGUAAGACGCAAGAGUUUCUCAGGGACCCACUCUGGACACUUCAGGACAUGCUUAAGCAUUUAAACUGUCUUAACAAAUAAUUUCCAUUUAAGGCAUUUCCCGAAAAAGCUUAUUUCUGGAAAGAUUGCCUGCACUCCUGGAUGUGGUUGAUAACCUUUGGUUUUGUAAAGGAAGUCAAUGGAAACGUUUAAGAGAA